GAUGAACGCUAGCGGCAGGCUUAAUACAUGCAAGUCGAGGGGCAGCGGGAGUAGCAAUACUUGCCGGCGACCGGCGCACGGGUGCGUAACACGUAUGUAAUCUGCCCAUCACAGGAGGAUAGCCCGGAGAAAUUCGGAUUAAUACUCCAUAAUAGAAGAUAAAGCAUUUUAUUUUCUUGAAAGUUCCGACGGUGAUGGAUGAACAUGCGACUGAUUAGUUUGUUGGUGAGGUAACGGCUCACCAAGACUACGAUCAGUAGGGGUACUGAGAGGUUAAACCCCCANACUGGUACUGAGACACGGACCAGACUCCUACGGGAGGCAGCAGUAAGGAAUAUUGGACAAUGGCCGCAAGGCUGAUCCAGCCAUGCCGCGUGCAGGAAGACGGACCCUA
rnacentral:rRNA from 1 species